CCCUUAGAUGUUCUGGGCCGCACGCGCGCUACACUGAUGCAUUCAACAAGCCUAGCCUUGACCGAGAGGUCCGGGUAAUCUUUGAAACUGCAUCGUGAUGGGGCUAGAUUAUUGCAAUUAUUAAUCUUCAACGAGGAAUGCCUAGUAAGCGUGAUUCAUCAAAUCGCGUUGAUUACGUCCCUGCCCUUUGUACACACCGCCCGUCGCUCCUACCGAUUGAAUGUGUUGGUGAGGAGCUCGGAUUGGCAGCAGUUGGUGGUUCGCCACCGGCUAUUGCUGAGAAGUCCUCCCAACCGCCCCAUUUAGAGGAAGGAGAAGUCGUAACA
rnacentral:rRNA from 1 species